UGGAGGGACCGGAGCGACCCGCCUGAGAGAGACCGGCCCCGUGAGAAGUCUGGGAAGAUCUUCUCUCUUCAGGUUGGAUGGAAAAAUGUGGCCAUGCUGAAUGGGUUAGAAGCUGUAAAGGAAGAAAGAGGCAGCUGAUAAACAAGUUUGUCCUAGAGAAAGAAGCCGGGCGGAUGAGGGGGCUCUGAUGUCAGGGUGUCCGUCCCCGUUGUACCUCAUCUCUGCAGGGCUCAGGAGUGGGACCUGGGACAGAGCUUGCUGGCGGCGGCUGCUGCUGUGUCCGAACAAGCGGCUUCAGACUUGUCCGUGCCAUCUACUUAAAGGGGCAGCGCGUGUGUCUCUUUCACACAGUUACACACACACACACCCUAUGUGUUUCUCUCUCUUACACUCACCUCCCAACACAUACUUACGUUGUUGUUGUUGUUGUUACUUCUUGAUAUUUCCUGCAAUGCACACA